CGGCGGACGGGUGAGUAACACGUGGGUAACCUACCUAUAAGACUGGGAUAACUUCGGGAAACCGGAGCUAAUACCGGAUAAUAUUCGAACCGCAUGGUUCGAUAGUGAAAGAUGGUUUUGCUAUCACUUAUAGAUGGACCUGCGCCGUAUUAGCUAGUUGGUAAGGUAACGGCUUACCAAGGCGACGAUACGUAGCCGACCUGAGAGGGUGAUCGGCCACACUGGAACUGAGACACGGUCCAGACUCCUACGGGGAGGCAGCAGCG
rnacentral:rRNA from 1 species